CCGCGACCCCAGGUCAGGCGGGACUACCCGCUGAGUUUAAGCAUAUCAAUAAGCGGAGGAGUCAUACUUGUGUUUCCCUGA
rnacentral:rRNA from 1 species